UACAGAGGUCCCAAGCGUUGUUCGGAUUCACUGGGCGUAAAGGGUGCGUAGGUGGUCAGGUAAGUCGGAUGUGAAAUCUCCGAGCUCAACUCGGAAACUGCAUUGGAAACUACCUGGCUCGAGGGUUGGAGGGGGGACUGGAAUGCUUGGUGUAGCAGUGAAAUGCGUAGAUAUCAAGCGGAACACCAGUGGCGAAGGCGGCCCGCUGGGCAGUGGCUGACGCUGAGGCGCGAAAGCGUGGGGAGCAAACAGG
rnacentral:rRNA from 1 species